ncrna:unclassified sequences DTF2693 RNA
GGUCUUUGACAUACUUGAUACAGGCGACAAUAGAAUAACUCACGUGGGUGCAAUGCCCACAUAGUGAUUAACAAUACCGCUUGCAAGGUCAGACUUAGCGUGCUGACCGCUGAACGGCUCACGACCGACACCCCGCCCCUCGCAAAGGGCUUGCAAGCAC